AUCAAUGAUUUAAGAGAGACUGAUGAAAAUGUUUACUACUGCGGAGAGAAUUCAGAAAACUCCUGGCACCGAAGAAUUCAGCUUUAUGUUGCCGACCUGCAGGUAAAGGUGAUUCCUGCCACAGAGGGACAGACAGUAACACUGAUGUGUAACACCAGCUGUCCUCUGACUGAAAACCCUGCAGCCUACAUCUGGUACAGGAACAGAGAGUUUCUCUAUCAGGACUGGUCUCCCUGGUACCAACAGCUGGUCAGCAGUGACAAAGCAGUCAGAUACUCCUGUGCUAUCAAAGGCUACGAGGGUCUCAGAGCCCCUGAAGUCUCAGUGGAUUCUGUUACAACAGCCUGCUUUAGCGUGACCUACGCUAAAGGAAGAAUGUGUUUGUAUAAUCAGAAAUCAGAGGAUGAGGCAUGC